rnacentral:tRNA from 1 species
GCAGUGGUGGUUCAGUGGUAGAAUUCUUGCCUUCCAUGUGGGGGACUCGGGUUCUAGUCCCAGCCAGUGCA